GGUCCUGCCCGGCUGCGAGGAGCCCGAGCCCUUCCAGACCCUCCCGGAAUGGUGCCUCAGCAUGGAGAGCAAGAUGCUGAGCAACGGGCUGGAUUCCACCUUGGUGCUCCUCAUCCUCCUGGAAUUCUGCGUGGCCGUGGCGGUUCUGGCGUUCGGAUACGACGCGGUCCGGCAGCAGACGUACACCCAGCUGGCGCUGUAGCCGCGGCCAAGCCCCGCACGUGCUGCCGCAUCCCGGGGCGGGUCCCGCUACCGGAGCCCCCUGCGAUGCCCCCAGCGUGUUCGGCCCCCAAUAAAGGCCUCUCCCCCAGCCCA